rnacentral:rRNA from 1 species
AUUGAACGCUGGCGGCAGGCUUAACACAUGCAAGUCGAACGAGUGGCGGACGGGUGAGUAAUGUCUGGGAAAUUGCCCGAUGGAGGGGGAUAACUACUGGAAACAGUAGCUAAUACCGCAUACCAGCGGAUGUGCCUAGAGGGGAUGAGCUAGUAGGUGGGGUAACGGCUCACGUUGGCGACGAUCCCUAGCUGGUCUGAGAGGAUGACCGGCCAAACUGGAACUGAGACACGGUGCAGACGCCUACGGGAGUCAGCGGGGGGGAAUAUUGCGCAAUGGGCGCAAGCCUGAUGCAGCCAUGCCGCGUGUAUGAAGGAGGCCUUCGGGUUUUAAAGUACUUUCAGCGAGGAGGCGUUACUCGCAGAAGAAGCACCGGCUAACUCCGUGCCAGCAGCCGCGGUAAUAC